rnacentral:rRNA from 1 species
GAUGAACGCUGGCGGCGUGCCUAAUACAUGCAAGUCGAGCGAACAGACGAGGAGCUUGCUCCUCUGACGUUAGCGGCGGACGGGUGAGUAACACGUGGAUAACCUACCUAUAAGACUGGGAUAACUUCGGGAAACCGGAGCUAAUACCGGAUAAUAUAUUGAACCGCAUGGUUCAAUAGUGAAAGACGGUUUUGCUGUCACUUAUAGAUGGAUCCGCGCCGCAUUAGCUAGUUGGUAAGGUAACGGCUUACCAAGGCGACGAUGCGUAGCCGACCUGAGAGGGUGAUCGGCCACACUGGAACUGAGACACGGUCCAGACUCCUACGGGAGGCAGCAGUAGGGAAUCUUCCGCAAUGGGCGAAAGCCUGACGGAGCAACGCCGCGUGAGUGAUGAAGGUCUUCGGACCGUAAAACUCUGCUAUUAGGGAAGAACAAAUGUGUAAGUAACUAUGCACGUCUUGACGGUACCUAAUCAGAAAGCCACGGCUAACUACGUG